UCGCUUCAGCAGCACAUAUACUAAAAUUGGAACAAUACAGAGAUUAGCAUGGCUCCUGUGCAAGGAUGAUACACAAAUUCGUGAAGCAUUCUACAUUUUU
rnacentral:snRNA from 1 species